GGUUGAUCCUGCCAGUAAUCAUACGCUUGUCUCAAAGAUUAAGCCAUGCAUGUCUAAGUAUAAACGAUUUUAACUGUUGAAACUGCGAAUGGCUCAUUAAAUCAGUUAUAGUUUAUUUGAUAGUAAAUUUAUUACAUGGAUAACCGUAGUAAAUCUAGAGCUAAUACAUGCAAAAUAAUGGUUGACUGAAGGAAGGGGUAAAACUCUUUUUUCAGAAGACUUGUAUUUAUUAGAUAAAAAAACCAAUAAUUAAACUUUUUAUCGAGUUUAAUUUUUUUUAAUUUUUGGUGAUU
rnacentral:rRNA from 1 species